AUUGACCGCUGGCGGCAAGCCUAACACAUGCAAGUCGAACGAGUGGCGGACGGGUGAGUAAUGUCUGGGAAACUGCCUGAUGGAGGGGGAUAACUACUGGAAAAGGUAGCUAAUACCGCAUACCAUCGGAUGUGCCCAGAUGGGAUUAGCUAGUAGGUGGGGUAGAGGCUCACCUAGGCGACGAUCCCUAGCUGGUCUGAGAGGAGGACAAGACACACUGGGACUGAGACAAGGUGCAGACACCCACGGGAGGCAGCAGUGGGGAAUAGUGGGCAAUGGGCGCAAGCCUGAAUGAUCCAUGCCGCGUGGAUGAAGAAGGCCUUCGGAUUUUAAAGUACUUUCGGCGGGGAGGCGUUACCCGCAGAAAAAGCACCGGCUAACUCCGUGCCAGCAGCAGCGGUAAUAC
rnacentral:rRNA from 1 species